GAUCGGGAUGUCGGAUGACAGGGCCGUGUUUGACGGGAAGAGCAUUUGUGCUUGUUCAUGCAGAAGCGGGUUAUGUGCCUCAUGGAAAUCAAGCAGGGUGCUAGGACUGGACAGAAGAGAAGGCAAGGCUGAGCAGGCUGACAGAUGAAGACAACCUCAUGCCUCCAGUUCCUUGAGAAGAAUUGCAAGGGCGGACUUGAAUCUUACGCUUCAGCCUCCUGAGCAACUCUGAAAGGCAAGUGUCUUCCGCACAAGCUAUGUCGACUGAGGAAACCAC
rnacentral:lncRNA from 10 species